rnacentral:rRNA from 1 species
CACGGGGGGAGCAAGCGUUGUUCGGAAUCACUGGGCGUAAAGGGCGUGUAGGCGGUCAGGUAAGUGGAAUGUGAAAGCCCUCGGCUCACCCGAGGAUCUGCAUUCCAAACUGCCUGGCUUGAGUAUGGGAGAGGAUUAGGGAAUUCCUGGUGUAGCGGUGAAAUGCGUAGAUAUCAGGAGGAACACCGGUGGCGAAGGCGCUCAUCUGGCCCAAUACUGACGCUGAGGCGCGAAAGCUAGGGGAGCAAACGGG